ensembl:lncRNA
UCAGGUUCCAUUUAUAACCUGGGGACACAGGUAUGGGACCUGCGUGUACUGUGUGGGCAACAGGCCAGCAUAGCACCGGGGUCACAGGUUUUACCACAGCGCCGGCUGCAUUCCACCAUACUAUUCUGUAGUUCUGGGUGUGGAAUUCAGCACGUCUUACCACAUUCCCGGUAAGAAACUGAGGCCCAAGGAAGCUCACUCAUGGCCACCCAGCUUGUCAGUGACGCAGUGGACCCUGGUGCUGAGAUGGUAUGAAGACUUUUUAUUUCUUAACUUUUGGAUUAUUUUUUAUUUACAUUUCAAAUGUUAUUCCCUUUCCCAGUUUCCCAGACAUAA